CCUACGAGUGGCUGCAGUGGGGAAUAUUGGGCAAUGGGCGCAAGCCUGACCCAGCAACGCCGCGUGAAGGAAGAAGGCUUUCGGGUUGUAAACUUCUUUUCUGAGGGACGAAGAAAGUGACGGUACCUCAGGAAUAAGCCACGGCUAACUACGUGCCACCAGCCGCGGUAAUACGUAGGUGGCAAGCGUUAUCCGGAUUUAUUGGGUGUAAAGGGCGUGUAGGAGGGAAAGCAAGUAAGAUGUGAAAACUCAGGGAUCAACCCUGGGCCUGCAUUUGAAACUGUUUUUCUUGAGUGCUGGAGAGGCAGUCGGAAUUCCGUGUGUAGCGGUGAAAUGCGUAGAUAUACGGAGGAAUACCAGUGGCGAAGGCGGAUUGCUGGACAGUAACUGACGCUGAGGCGCGAAAGCGUGGGGAGCAAACAGGAUUAGAUACCCCGGUAGUC
rnacentral:rRNA from 1 species